rnacentral:rRNA from 1 species
GAGUUUGAUCAUGGCUCAGAUUGAACGCUGGCGGCAUGCCUUACACAUGCAAGUCGAACGGCAGCAUGAUCUAGCUUGCUAGAUUGAUGGCGAGUGGCGAACGGGUGAGUAAUACAUCGGAACGUGCCCUGUAGUGGGGGAGUAACUAGUCGAAAGAUUAGCUAAUACCGCAUACGACCUGAGGGUGAAAGUGGGGGACCGCAAGGCCUCAUGCUAUAGGAGCGGCCGAUGUCUGAUUAGCUAGUUGGUGGGGUAAAGGGCCCACCAAGGCGACGAUCAGUAGCUGGUCUGAGAGGACGAUCAGCCACACUGGGACUGAGACACGGCCCAGACUCCUACGGGAGGCAGCAGUGGGGAAUUUUGGACAAUGGGCGAAAGCCUGAUCCAGCAAUGCCGCGUGUGUGAAGAAGGCCU